rnacentral:misc_RNA from 1 species
GAUGAAGAACGUAGCGAAAUGCGAUAAGUAGUGUGAAUUGCAGAAUUCCGUGAAUCAUCGAAUCUUUGAACGCACCUUGCGCCCUUUGGCUAUUCCGAAGGGCAUGCCUGUUUGAGUAUCAUGAACACCUCAACUCUUCACGGCUUGCCGUGAUGAGUUUGGACUUUGGGGGUCUUGCUGGCCUACGAGCCAGCUCCUCUCAAAUGUAUUAGCUUGCCGGUGUUUGGUGGCAUCACAGGUGUGAUAACUAUCUACGCUUGUGGUUUUCCACUAGGUAACCUUCAGCAAUGGAGGUUCACCGGAGCUCACAAAUGUCUCUCCUUGCCAAGGACAGAUUUUGACCAUUUGAUCUCAAAUCAGGUAGGACUACCCGCUGAACUUAAGCAUAUCAAUAAGCGGAGGA